rnacentral:rRNA from 1 species
GACGAACGCUGGCGGCGGGCCUAAUACAUGCAAGUAGAACGCAGUUGCGAACGGGUGAGUAACGCGUAGGUAACUGCCUCAUAGCGGGGGAUAACUAUUGGAAACGAUAGCUAAUACCGCAUACUGGGGGACGGACCUGCGUUGUUUUGGCUAGUUGGUGAGGUAAAGGCUCACCAAGGCGACGCUACAUAGCCGACCUGAGCGGGUGGUCGGCCACACUGGGACUGAGCACCGGCCCAGACUCCUACGGGGGGCAGCAGUAGGGAAGCGUCGGCAAUGGACGGAAGUCUGACCGAGCAACGCCGCGUGAGUGAAGAGGGUUUUCGGAUCGUAAAGCUCUGUUGUUAGAGAAGCGGUAUCUAACCAGAAAGGGACGGCUAACUACGUGCCAGCAGCCGCGGUAAUAC